GAUGAACGCUGGCGGCGUGCUUAACACAUGCAAGUCGAACGAGAAGUGAAGACGGAAACCUUCGGGCGGAAGGCUUUAUUUCGAGUGGCGGACGGGUGAGUAACUCGUGGGUAACCUGCCUCAUACAGGGGGAUAACAGUUGGAAACGACUGUUAAUACCGCAUAAGACCACAGCACCGCAUGGUGCGGGGGUAAAAACUCCGGUGGUAUGAGAUGGACCCGCGUUCGAUUAGCCAGUUGGCGGGGUAACGGCCCACCAAAGCGACGAUCGAUAGCCGAUCUGAGAGGAUGACCGGCCACAUUGGGACUGAGACACGGCCCAAACUCCUACGGGAGGCAGCAGUGGGGAAUAUUGCACAAUGGGGGAAACCCUGAUGCAGCGACGCCGCGUGAGUGAAGAAGUAUUUCGGGAUGUAAAGCUCUAUCAGCAGGGAAGAAAAUGACGGUACCUGAGUAAGAAGCCCCGGCUAACUACGUG
rnacentral:rRNA from 1 species